AUUCCCAUGGCCGACGAAGGUAAAAGUGUAGUAUCUGUUGUUAUCAGUAUAUUAUCUGAUAGGGGUUCUACUAGGACCGAAAAUAUUACACUUAAUUUAGCAAGUUGUCGGAGUGCACAAAGCCUGCUUCACCUCCGCCGCGGGUCGAACUGGUAUUGCGCUACCUGCGGGAUUAGACCACGUAUG